rnacentral:SRP_RNA from 1 species
CUGUGCUAGAUGGGGAGGUAGCGGUUCCUUGUAACCUGCAAUCCGCUGUAGCAGGGUUGAUGCUUAGUUUGAGGACACAUUUUGUAGGGUCUGCAUUUGCUAAGUAAUGUUGAUAAUUGGGUCUUGCGCAAUAGAUACUUGUGAACCCCGUCAGGUCUGGAAGGAAGCAGCGGUAAACGAGACCAUCUAUGUGCCGCAGGGUCGCCUGGUUUGAGUUAACUGGCAUCUUAGCGCUUAUAGAAUUUGCUCGAAGCUAAGUGCACAG